ACGCACGCUGGCGGCAUGCCUAACACCUGCAAGUCGAACGAGAUCCUUCGGGGUCUAGUGGCGCACGGGUGCGUAACGCGUGGGAAUCUGCCCUUAGGUUCGGAAUAACAGUUAGAAAUGACUGCUAAUACCGGAUGAUGACGUUAAGUCCAAAGAUUUAUCGCCUGAGGAUGAGCCCGCGUAGGAUUAGCUAGUUGGUGUGGUAAAGGCGCACCAAGGCGACGAUCCUUAGCUGGUCUGAGAGGAUGAUCAGCCACACUGGGACUGAGACACGGCCCAGACUCCUACGGGAGGCAGCAGUGGGGAAUAUUGGACAAUGGGCGCAAGCCUGAUCCAGCAAUGCCGCGUGAGUGAUGAAGGCCUUAGGGUUGUAAAGCGCUUUUACCCGGGAUGAUAAUGACAGUACCGGGAGAAUAAGCCCCGGCUAACUCCGUG
rnacentral:rRNA from 1 species